UACGGAGGGAGCUAGCGUUGUUCGGAAUUACUGGGCGUAAAGCGUGCGCAGGCGGUUCGUUGUGUCGGCGGUGAAAGCCCCGGGCUUAACCUGGGAAUGGCCGUCGAAACUGGCGAACUGGAGUGUGGCAGAGGGGGGUGGAAUUCCGCGUGUAGCAGUGAAAUGCGUAGAGAUGCGGAGGAACACCGAUGGCGAAGGCAGCCCCCUGGGCUGACACUGACGCUCAGGCACGAAAGCGUGGGGAGCAAACAGG
rnacentral:rRNA from 1 species